AGAUUGAACGCUGGCGGCGUGCCUAACACAUGCAAGUCGAGCGGUAACAGGUGUAGCAAUACAUGCUGACGAGCGGCGGACGGGUGAGUAACGCUUGGGAAUCUGCCUGUUAGUGGGGGACAACCCGGGGAAACUCGGGCUAAUACCGCAUACGCACUACGGUGGAAAGCCGGGGACCGCAAGGCCUGGCGCUAACAGAUGAGCCCAAGUCGGAUUAGCUAGUUGGUAGGGUAACGGCCUACCAAGGCGACGAUCCGUAACUGGUCUGAGAGGACGACCAGUCACACCGGAACUGAGACACGGUCCGGACUCCUACGGGAGGCAGCAGUGGGGAAUAUUGGACAAUGGGCGAAAGCCUGAUCCAGCAAUGCCGCGUGAGUGAUGAAGGCCUUAGGGUUGUAAAGCUCUUUACCCGGGAUGAUAAUGACAGUACCGGGAGAAUAAGCUCCGGCUAACUCCGUGCCAGCAGCCGC
rnacentral:rRNA from 1 species